rnacentral:tRNA from 1 species
AGCCCGGUGGUGUAGCGGUCAAGCAAGAGAAGAAGAUAAAUUUCUUCUCCUUGAAUAGCGGGCUUUGGACCCGCCGACGGGAGUUCGAAUCUCCCCCGGGCUACCA